AUCGUCAAAGAUAUAUUUGGGAACCCCGUUGUUCCUAGUGGCAGCUACUAUAUUUGGCCUGAUUACUUAAUAAAUGGUGGUGAAUUGAGGCUUGGUGAAACAGAAAAUUCAACAUGUCCAUUUACUGUACUUCAAGAUUAUUCUAACCUUGGUCCUGGUCUGCCAGUAAAAUUUACCCCACAAAAUCAAACAAGUAGUGAUGAUCCCAUCACUUUAAUGUUGCCUAUUGAGAUUACAUUUGAAAACAAACCAGAUUGUGCAGAAUCCUCCAAGUGGUUGGUGGUUGAAGCAGAAAAUGAGUACCCUACACCAUGGGUGACUAUUGAUGGUACAAACAAGAAUGUUUAUGAUGGUUAUUUUAUGAUAGUUGGAUUCAAGAAGACGGGAUACCUUAUCUUUUUCUGUCACAAGUUAUUAUCUCCUACACCAGGUGUAUGUAUUUAUUUAAGUAGGAGGAAUGACGAAAAUGGAAUGCGUUUGGUCUAUGAAAUGGAUGGUGAUGCCUUAGGAGCGGUAUUCGUUAACGUUAAUGAUGCUGCUAGAGCUCGAAGAUCAUCGGUACUUAAGAAGGACCACGCAUUUAGGCUACCUAUGAUCUGAAUGCGUGAAUGUGUGUUUUCUUUUGCCCGUUUCUAUGUCUUUUCUUCUGUUCUUGCUUGAAAUGUUCUGUUUUUUUCUUUAUUGUUUCUUGUUAUCUUCAUCCAUGUAGUGAGUUUAAGUACGCUUUGUAAUCAUAUCUCAAUUUUAAUAAAUUAAAUUUGCCACUAUUCAAUUAGACAUGAGUGAUUGUCACGAUUGAAUUUGAAGGUGAAAAUACUAUAACCUAGCAAUUUUGCAUCGUGUUUAAUAUUUUUGGAUUGAUAAAUCUGAAAGUUUCAAGGUUGCUCUUCGGGCACCCUUGAUUUGCUAAAAAAUCAAAAUACCGUUUGCAGAGAGUUGAACUUAACUGUCGUUCAUCACACAACAAUAGUUGACUAGUAGUUGACACUUUUAUAAACGGUCCAAUUACUAUUUUAGUCUCAAAAUCUUGUUAAGGGAACUGCACUUAUCUGUCGUUCACCAUGCAAUGGUAGCUAAGUACGGUUCGACACUUUUUAUAUUGGUGUAAUCACUGUUUUAGUCCCUUUCUUUAGAGCCGUUUCUCUGUCUUUUAUUUUCUUCUUUUCAUUUGUUCCUGUUUUUAGUCUUGGUUUUUGCUAUUUUUCUUGUUUCUUUGUUCUUUUCCUCAGUGCAAUGAGUUUUAGUAUUCUUCGUAAUUAUUUCUCAAUUUUGAAGAUCGCAGUUAAAGAACGGUGGUUCACGGAUGGUGUGGUAGAGACACGUUAACACUCCAACGCUUACCAAAUUUUUGGUGUGACGGAUCUCUUGAUAGAUGAGGAAUGUGUCUGCAGACACGUUAACACUUCAACUCUUAAGUCAAUAUCGGGAAAAGGAGGAUAUAACAAAGCAUGCGACGGAUGGGCUAGAGGUUGGGAUCGAGGAUUAUGCUAUGAUUGUUCAAGACCGUGAUAUUCAAGUUGCGGGUAUUUCCAUUGUCCAUGACGAACUAUAAACUCGUGCUUCUUCGGUUCCCAUAUCUUCACAGUUUUUGAGAGCUUCUCAGUUAGAUUUGGUUUCUUUAUCUCUUGCAGGAGGUGAUCUGUGGGUGAUUCCAAAGGUAGUUACUGAAAAAAAGAAGGUUGAUGGGGGUUCCAGGCACUCAUCUCGUAAUCUGUAGAGAGUUGCGAGGAUGCUAGCUAAGGAUAGAAUGAAGAUCUUCAAAAUUUUGUCUAGGCAGGCAAGUGAGCAGAAGGCAAGAUUGUUAUCUAAAUCUUCUAAGUCAAAGGACAUUGAUCGAUCUCACCAAUUCAAAAAUAUUUUCUAAUACUUCUAUUUUAUAUGUCAAUAAGGAUUGGGAACAUUGUGUGUCUUUAUAGGGUUGUACUAAGGCGGCGGAUGCAAAUGUUUGUGGGAUUGGUGGUUUGAUUGGUGUUAAGUAUAAAGGAGAUAAAGGAAAUAUAUUUAAUGUGUUGUCAAAAGAGGUUAGGCGUAGUUUUAGAGAGGAGGUGGGGAGAAUUUUUGCCAAGGGGGAAUACAGAGGGUGUGGUGUCGGUUGCUAGGUGGUGGCCGUAGGUGUGUGUGUGUUUGGGGUGGAUUUUUGUUCUAAUGAAGAUUGUUUCGUAUAAUGUCAGGGGGUUAGGAUAUUUUGAGAAGCAAGGUGAGGUUAGGCGUUUGGUGGUUGACAAGAAACCUUUUGUUGUUUGUUUUUAAGAAUCAAAAUUGGGUUUGGUAGAUGACUAGUUGGUUAAGGAAAUUUGGGGAAGUUCUGUGGUGGGUUACUCUCUUCAACCAUUGAUGGAGCUUCUGGUGGCUUAUUGACGGUGUGGGAUAGAAGUUGUGUGGAUGUCUCCUCAACUUCUAGUUUUCCGCAUGUUUUGGUGAUCAGAGGUCGGGUUCUUAAAACUAAUGAGAAGUUUGUUAUUGAUGAUGUUUAUCCUCUAUGUGACACGACGGCGAAGCAGGUAUUAUGGGAUCAACUGUCGCAUUUUGAUAAUAAUAGUGUGGCCAACCUCUGUUUAUGUGGUGAUUUUAACUCAGUUCGAUCUGAUGGGAUAAAACCGCAAGUGCACGAUUAUAUCGAAGUAGUAAAAAGAUAGUAUCGUUCCGACAGGGAAUUUUUUAAUUCAAUUAACUAUAGUUGAUGAUUAGAGAGAGUUCAAUUUGCAAAGUUGGGGUUUUUAACGGUUGAAAAUAAUAAUAAAAGAGAGCCUUGAGAUUAUUGGUCCAUCAUGGCGACAAAUCUUUCAUAAACCAAACCAUUAAACCUAAAGGAAAAUGUUACAUAGACACCUUUUAAUUGCAUACAUCCUUGUACACCCCAUAUAUUAGGAAGAGAGAAGAGAAGAAGAAAGAGAAAGUGUACUUGUGCGGGGUCCAUAUGGCCACAUGUCAGAUUUUUGUGUGGGUGUCAAGGGGUGUAUUGCCACCUAAGGGUGUUUAUGUAUCAUAACUCAAACCUAAAACCUCAUGUUAGACCUAAUUUUUAACGACAAGUUUCUCUUUAGCCUAUCACAUCUCCUUUCGGUCUCAGUGAGUGUGUUCCUCUAGCAACCACGCCUAUUUUCAUGGUAUACUUCUAAUUUUUAUUUAAUUAUAUUUAGGUAUACAAUCUUAAUUAAUUUACACUAUAUGGCUUGUAACAAUUAAAAUUUCACAUUAAAUUCAACCCAUCAGGGCUGUGUUUGGUAACACGAAUAAGCUAGCUUAUAGCUUGUUGGACUAGCUUAUAAGCUUAUUUUGAUAUAAUAAGAUGUGUUUGGUAAAAAGUUUUUUUCACUAGCGUAUAACGUUUUUUGAGAAGCUAUUUCAAGUAGCUUUUGAGCUUAUAACUGAUAGUUAUUUAUAUUUUCUUCCAAUUUUAACCCUAUUAAUUUAAUUUAAUUAUUUUUUAAUAAAACAACAUGUUCAUGGCUUAAAAAUAACCGCGAAGUUCAUAGUGUUUUUUUUUUAAUAAGACAAAUUUUCUCCUUUGAGAAAAAAACUGUCAUGCUUUAUUAAUUUUUUAAUGAACGCUUUAUAUAUAUUUCUUAAAAGAAAUGUUUUAUAUUUAACUAAAAUGCAGAGAUGAAAAUUGUCGGUGAAAUUUUAUUGGACACUAAAACCAAAAGUUUGAAUAUUUAUAGAGAUCCAAAUAAUAGUUAACCAUAAAAUAAAAUAAUAAAAAAUAAAUACAUUAGAAAAUAUAUAUAUAUAUAUAUAUAUAUAUAUAUAUAUAUAUAUAUAUAUAUAUAUAUAUAAACAUAUCAUUUUAUUUUAUUUUAUACUUAUCAGCUAUUUCAACAACUAAUUUUACUGAACACUUCAAUUUUAAUAAACCAUCUUUGGAGCUAUAAGCUAUUAGUUAUAAGAUAUCAGCUUUCAGCUAGUUUAUAGCUUAUUUAUACCAAACACACCCCACAUACGUUAAUAAAUUUUGUUCCAUUCCAAAACCUAGAACACACAUGACAUUCAAUUUCUUCUUCGGUCUUCUUCCUAUCUUGAUUGUUCAAUUCUCUCAUUCGAGAAUUGUCAUCGUGAAAUCCCUCUCUAAUUCCGUCACUAAAUUUUCCGACCAUGAAAUUUGUGAGGAAUUUCAUUUUUUCCGUCACUAAUUUCCCUCGCUAAUUUUUCUUUUUCUGGUAGUGGUUGUUUCCAUAAUCACAUCAGGUAUCGUGACUUGAUUUGAUUUUUCAUUUUCGUUUCUUUCUCACUACUAUCGUGACUUGAUUGCAACUGUUUUACACUUAUAACUUCCACUUUUUUCAAUUCACAUAAUACUAGUUCUACUCAACAGAGAAAUUUGUGUUUAGUCUUUUAACUUAAUUUUCACAUAUGUUCCAACAUUUUCUUUUUUAAAAAGGACACAUUAAUUAACUUUUAAAUACAGCAACACUAAAUAAACAUCAAGAUAUCCCAUUCACGAGCUUCUCGUGGCCUAUAAAAUAUUCAUCCUUAUAACGAAAGAUGAUUUAGCUCCUCGUAUAUGGAUAACCUUAAUUUUGUGUGUAUGCGGCCUCGAGUAGAGUAACCUUAAUUUUUUAUACAGCUAUUGGAACGUGUAUUAUCCGGUUAAAAAAUAAUACAUCAUGCAUGAAAACAAUAUUGAUUUGUCCACUAUGAACCCAAUGACAGAAUUAUGGAUCACAUGCAUGGAAAAUAUAUAUAUAUAUAUAUAUAUAUAUAUAUAUAUAUAUAUAUAUAUAUAUAUAUAUAUAUAUAUAUAUAUAUAUAUAUAUAUGGGGUUUGCUAGGAUACACCCAUUAGUUUUUAUUAAAUGCAUAAAAAAUAUAUAUGUUAAGACACCAAAAGUAUUACUCUUAUUAUCAUUACUUUGUAAUUAGUACUUUAUAAAUUCAUUUUCUUACCUGGCUUGGAUAAAUUUAUUAAAAAUAUAUUAUCAGAUGUCCUUGAUUAUAAAUGAAUCUUUCGCAAUAAAAAAUACAAAAAUAUUAAAUAAUAAAAGAAACAUAACUUUAUUGAUUCAUCCGAGACAUUAUAUUUUUGGAACUCACAUUGAGCGAUACCAAACAAGCAACUAGAAAGCAACUUAACUUUAUUAUAUGCCCAAACCAACAAUAUAAUAGGACCCAACCACCACAAACGAGAAUAUAAACAAACAUUAAUAUUAGUUGUCUUUAUCCACUACAUGGAGUGUAACUUAACUUUAUCUAAUAGUUGGUGAAUGGUGCUUUCCGUAUUCUUGAAAAUUUUAUUAUUUCUUUAAUUCCACAAAACUCAUGCGCAACAUAAUUAAACAAGUUGCAUAAAGGAACGCCAAACUCACGACCCUCCUGAAAAAUAAACAAACUGAAUAGCAUGAUCCUUUAAAUGGUACGUAUCAGUCGUGAAAAGCCAAGCCACACCCGCUCAAGAACCCAUAGAGAAUCGAAAUAAUAAGGACAAGAGAGAAAUAAAUGAUGAGUAGUCUCGAUACGCCCACACCCAGUCAUGCUAACUAACUUUCAUGAGAAAUAAUGCCACCGCCAUAAAACUGUCCUUCGUCGACAAUCGAUUUCGAAAAAGACGCCAAUCCAAAAUAGAAACCUUUUAAAGGAACUUGUUUAUGCCAAAUGAGUUCUGAAGUAGCAUCAAGGCUAGGGACCUUUUGAGUAGUAAGCUUCUGAUGCACAUUUUGAAUAGAGUAACCGCCACUAGGAGCAAGUUUCCACUGCCAAUAAUCUGAAGAAUUGUUCUACAAAGAAAUGUCAUCAAGCAAAAUCCUACACUUCUCUGACAGCUCCUCCCCCCACACCCACAAUCGACGCACCAUUGUCAGGCCGCCCCUCCCUCCUCCCACCCUAAACCAUCCACUACCGAUAUUGACUUGUUUUUAGACGAAUCGAAAAGACGCUUAAACCGAACAGUUAAGGGGAACCCUCAUAACCACAUGUCAGUUUAAAAAAACGUAUUUGUCCCAUCGCCAACCAUCCUUCGAGUACACUCCUUAAACCACAACCUCCAUACACACCUUUGCCAUCAUGAAUUGUCGCUACCUCCCUUCUCCAAAAAGAACCACUUCGGCCCCCAACCUCAUACCUCUCAUUUCCUCGCCAUACCGAGCUACCAACACCUUGUACCAUAAACCCUUUUUAGCCACUAACAUCCUAUAUCAUAAUUUACCUACAAAGCAAAGUUAAACUCCCUCAUCUUCCUAACCCCUAAACCUCCAUAAUCCUUAGUCAAACAGAUAUUAUGCCAACCAAUCCAAGAAAUUUUCCUAUAUUUCUCACUCCGUCCCUAAAUAUUUUUUUUUUCUUUCAAUAAAUUAAAGAUUCAAUAGAAGAGAUAAUACUUGAUGAAGGUUUGAACAAGGAAAGAGCAUAUAAAGGCAUAGAGGACAAGACAGACUUAAGGAGAACCAGACGCCCACCAAAGGAGAGAAAUCUACUCCUCCACCCAGACAACACCGUUCUCAAAACAAUAAACGCAUCGGAUCACCACCAAUGGUCAAACCUAGAUACAAUAAACGAGUAAUUUUUUAGAGAAUGAUUAAUUAAUGAUAAUGAUUAAUAUAUUUUGAAUUUUCAGAAUGUUAUAACUCCCUAGAUUAAAUUUGAAGAAUUCAUGUAAGCCCUCCAACUGAGGAGGGUAUGAAGAUAUCAGAAACCCCAUAGCCUUCCCCUCUCAUUGUCAUUUAUUAAUUCCACUUAAUUCUUCAUUUUUUUCAAGCUCCUCCCCUCUAAUCUUGGAAACAAAACCUAAGGAAGUAGUUCAACGUCCGGAGAAGAAGUGAACUCUAAGAAGUGAUGUUUAGUGACUUUGAAUCUGUAUUGUAUCGAUUUACCGUAUCAAUUUAAAUUAAUGAAUAUGGUAUUUUUUUUUUUUUAAAUAAAAUAAAAAAUAAUAGUUUAAAGAGAAUCUGCGAAUAUAUGGCCGGCCAUCAUGUGGGAGACCACAUGAACGUUGUUGGGUUCCUUAAUUUUUUUAUUUUUUUCAUACAUGUGAUGUAUAUAUUCAUUUUUAUAUAUCGAUAAACAUAAUGUUUUUUUAAAACAAGUCUAUAAAUAAAGGUUUCAUUGAUACAACAAUUGCACCACAAAUACACACAAACACAAACACAAACACAAACAAAUAAAAUUGCCAUGAAGCCUACAUUAGUUACUACCCUUUGUUUCCUCCUCUUUUCCUUCACCAUCUACUUUCCAUUACCGUUUACACAUGCAAAUGAUUUUAUCGUCAAAGAUAUAUUUGGGAACCCCGUUGUUCCUAGUGGCAGCUACUAUAUUUGGCCUGAUUACUUAGUAAGUGGUGGUGAAUUGAGGCUUGGUGAAACAGAAAAUUCAACAUGUCCAUUUACUGUACUUCAAGAUUAUUCUAACCUUGGUCCUGGCCUGCCAGUAAAAUUUACCCCACAAAAUCAAACAAGUGGUGAUGAUCCCAUCACUUUAAGCUUGCAUAUAGACAUUGCAUUUGAAAACAAGCCAGAUUGUGCAGAAUCCUCCAAGUGGUUGGUGGUUGAAGCAGAAAAUGAGUACCCUACACCAUGGCUGGCUAUUGAUGGUACUGGAAAGAAGGUUUAUGAUGAUGGCUGGUUUGAAAUUAUUGGAUACAAGAAAACGGGAUACCUUAUCUAUUUCUGUCACAAGUUAUCUCCUACACUAGGUGAAUGUAUUUACUUAAGUAGGAAGAAUGACAAAAAUGGAAUGCGUUUGGUCUAUGAAAUGGAUGGUGAUGCCUUAGCAGCGGUAUUCGUUAACAUUAAUGAUGCUGCUAGAGCUAGAAGAUCAUCGGCGAUUUGAAUAAAAUCAAAAGUUAGAAGGACCAUGCAUUCACGCUAACUAUGAUCUGAAUGCGUGAAUGUGUGUUUUCUUUCCCGUUUCAAUGUGUUUUAUUGUGUUAUUUUCUUCUGUUCUUGCUUCUUCUGUAUUUUUCUUUGUUGUUUCUUGUUCUCUUCAUCCCUGUAAUGAGUUUAAGUACUCUUUGUAAUCAUAUUUAAAUUUUAAUAAAAGAAAUAUAAGAGGUGAUUGUUUGAUUUUCUCAUUCACUGUCAAAGGAAUAUAUACAACAAAUUUCCCAAGCUACAUGCCUAAAGAUUAGGAGAUAUUGAUAAGGAAAUUAUGUAUGAGAUAUGCUAUUAAAAUACAAGAGAUAUUCCAGAAGCUACCUAUGUUAUCAGAUAAUUACAUGGUCAACUAUAGCUGUUAAUUGUUACUAAUUACAUGCUAAAAUGCAGCUGCUAAUUACUAACACAAUACUCCCCCUCAAGUUGGAGCAUGAAGAUUUCGAAUGCCCAACUUGUGACGGAGAAACUGAAACUGUUGCUUCCCGAGAGCUUUGUUAAAGAUGUCCGCUAGUUGCAUGUUAGUACAAACAUUGAAGGUGGAAUGGAGCAGAAAUAUGGAGAGCUGCUUGUCAAAGGAAUGGAGAACUCCAAGAGACUAGAGUAAAGAUUUAAGCCAAAUAAGCUCACAACUAGUGGUAGCCAUAGAGCAAUAUUCGGCUUCGGCAGAUGACUGAGAAAUUGUCGGCUGCUUCUUAGUCUUCCAAGAAAUGGGAGAAACACCCAACAUAAUAAAGUAUCCAGUGAGAGAUCGAUGAGUCAAAGGACAUGUAGCAUAAUCAGAAUCACAAUAAGCGGUAAUUUGCAAAGAUUUGUCCAUAGAGAGGAAAAUACCUUUCCCUGCAUGUCCUUUUAAGUAAUGAAUGACUCGUAGAGCAACAUUCCAAUGUGCUUCUUCAGGACUUUGCAUAAAUUGAGCUAACGUAUGAACAUCAUAACAAAGUUCUGGACGAGUAAUGGUGAGGUAAAUUAAACGACCGAUCGCGACAAAUCGUCUAUAAUGAUCUGGAUGAUCAAGGUUGAGACUUGUAUCAAGAGCUAAUUGGUGAUUUUGUUCCAUGGGAAAAUCCCAAGGUUUUGCACCAAGUAAACCAGAUUCCGAGAUGAUAUCCAGUGCAUAUUUCCGUUGAGACAGAAACAAACCAUCAGGCCGACGAGAAAUCUCAAGACCAAGAAAAUAUUUCAAUACUCCCAAAUUUUUCUUGUGAAAGCAAGUGCUAAGACAAGCUUUGAAAUGAGCAAUUGAUGCCGAGUCAUUACCUGCAAUGAUCAAGUCAUCAACGUACACAAGUAUGUUAAGAACAAUACCAUGUCGCUCAAGAGAGAACAAUGAGUAAUCAACAUAGGAAUAAACAAAUCCAAAUGACUUUAAGGCAGAAACAAGCUUAGAGAACCAGUUACGAGGGGCUUGACGAAGUCCGUAUAAAGAUUUCCUCAAUCUGUAGACCUUCCCAUGAGAAACAUCUGAAAACCCCAGAGGAAGAUUCAUAUAUACUUCUUCAUCAAGGUCUCCAUGUAGGAAAGCAUUGUGAACAUCCAUUUGAUGGAGUUCCCAAUCACGAAUAACAACCAAUGCAAGAAAAACACGAACCGAUACCAUUUUUGCAACCGGAGCAAAUGUCUCAAAAAAACCAAUACCAACAACUUGAUUGUUGCCAAUAAUAACAAGAUGUGCUUUGUGUCGUUCAAUAGUACCAUUGUAACAGCUUGAUUUUCGUUAGAUUUAUUUUAAUUAAUUUUUAUGUGUUUAUAUAUGCUUGUAUGUGAUUAAUUGCCUCUGUGUGUAUUUUGGUUGGGAUUAGUGGAAUUCGGUGUUAGAAGGGUAUUUUAGUCAUUUUAAACUUAGGGGUAUUUUGGUCUUUGUGUUAAUAAGGGUAAAUUCGUAAUUUCACUGUGAAGAUUGUUUUUAGUGUUUUAAGCGAGGGCCAUUACUUUUACUAGGUUACUAGUGUGUUGUGGUAAUUAGUUAAGAGUCGGUAACUAUUCAUUAUUUUUUUAACUUUAAGUGAGUAGAAAUUUUGUGAGUUAGUUAAUGAGGACUUUGACCCCAUUAAGACAUUUUAAGGGUACGCCCAAUUGUGUAGAGCCUGUGUGAACUCUAGUCUUUAGAGAAAAUAAGGUUUCACAUUCAUUUUAUAACUUUUGAGAGAGGUAAAGAGAGAAAGAGCUAGAGGAAGAGAAAAAGGGUUAGAAGAGAAGAGCUUGAAGAUCAAGAAGGGGGUAGAGAUUCAAGGAGUUAAAUUGAAACUAAGGUUAGGUUUGUGCUCAAUUGAGGUAAGGGGGAUAGUGUUCUAUCAUAAUCUUGUAGUUAUAAUAUCUUUUCUACUUAUAUUCAAAAGUGGUUAUUUGUGAAAAGUUAUUAAUUGUGAAUUUAAUUAGUGAAAUUCAUGCUGUUAUGUUGAUGCAAUGUUUAGGUAUGUGAAUUUGAGGAUAAUUAAGUUGUUGAUGUUGAAUUUACAUGCUAGUGAUAUAUAUAUAAUUGUUGUUGUUGGAUUGUUGAUGAAUUCACUAAUCUCAUGUGGAAUAUCUUUCUGGAGAAAUUAGAUUGACUGCUAUAAGACUUACGAUGUUUAAUAAAAUGUGUUUAUGAGAAAAUAUACAUUUAUCGGAUUUAUUUUUCAUUGUGGAAUUGUUGUCACUUGAAAAAUUAUUCAAGUAGACCUGUAUAAUAAAUCCACACAGAGUUAUAUUUUCUCAAUGUGGGGAUUUGUCGCUUAAAAUUUAUCUAAGUAGACCCGAUGACAUAUAUCAAAAAGUUAAUUUGACAAUAUAUGAUAUAUUGUUUAAAAGUGGAUAAACCAUUGUAUUCAAAUAAUACAAUGACGUUAAUUAGAUAUGAAUCCAAUGAGAAUAAAUUUAUAAGUAAAUUUAUCUUAUUGAUAAAUAUGUUGUCGCUUAGUAGACAACUAAGCAGACCUGUAUGCAUUUAUUAUGAAGAACAAGUUUAUAAUUGUUAACUUGGUAAAUAUGAGAUUAAUUGAGUGAGAGAUGUCUUAGUCAAUAUUCUUUGAUGAAAGAAAUUUUUGUCUUCAUCAAUGUGUGUGAAGUACGUACUAAUAAAGCCUCUGGGAUGAAAUAAAAUUGUGAGCAUCGAGGGGAUUGAGACUUAAGCCAAUCGAAAUUGACAUGUGAUAGGAACCCAACCUUUGUGAUUGGAGAUCCCAUGAAGAAGGUUCAAUGUGGUAAGAACAAGUCACAUGUUAGUUCUGCUAGCGCAAAAUUUAAUCUUGUCUCCUUCCUAUGGUGUAUUUGAGCAAGUGCUAGACACUACAAUAUUGAGAGGAUAAGCUAUAAUGCUUUCAACAAUUUUCAUAUCCCUUAUGAGUGGUGUAUGACUUGCAACAUACACUUGAUGAAAUUGCCUAUAUGGGUGUCAAGUGGAGCCGCUUGCAUGAGACCGUGGCGGGUCUCUAGAGCACUCAUGAAGACCAGACACGCGCUUGGCCUAUUCGCGCACAAUCGCGUAACAGCAACAAUUAUUGUAAAUAUUGCUGAUAUUUCAAAAGUUCAAAUAUAAAUAUUACUCAGAAUAAGUGAAAAAUAAUUUUAGUUGAAAAUCAUAAAUUAAUUGUGAAAUUUUUAUUACUAGAAUUUUACUCAAAUUAAUUAUUUUGACCGGUUCUAUAUAUACAAUAACAACCCAUUCCUUUAUUCUCUCCAUGAGUCAUUAAAGAAAAUACAUGUUUUUAUUUAGUUGUCCUUGACUUUCUCUUAAACGUGCUUAACCUACUAGUAUCCCUAUUUUUAUGCUAUGAAUGGGUUUCAAAGAAGAUGAUAUUUAUGCUAAAAAGUAUGAUUUAUUUUUAUAAGGACUAAAAAUAAAACUGCAGAUAUUUAUAGGAACCAAAAAUUUAAUUAACCCUAAUAUUAGUGAUUAAAAAUUGUUAUUACACAUGAUUUGAUUAUUGAUAGCUCUCAUAUGUUAUUAACUGUUUAGAAGAUAUUUUAGAUUGAUUAGUCAUUGAACAUUCUUUCAUCGUGAUGUAUCCAAAUAAGUGUUUUUUUGUGUCCUGUUGUGGCAUUGGAGUUAUGUUUGAUAAACUAAUAAUAAACGUUGAUAUAAGGUAAAUUAGUAGUAUAUUUAAAUUUGACUUUUUCAUAUUCCAAGGUAAAUAAACGUAAAAAACAUAAUUAGUAGUAUAUUCAAAUUUGAAGUACACCCUCCGGUCACUAUUAUAAGCAAAAACAUAAUUUUAGAUUCAUUCAUUAAAUGAUGUAUAUCGUCUUUAUUAUAGACCACAUACAUCAUUUAAUGAAUGAAUCUAAAAUAUUGAUUUUUGCUUAUAAUAAUGACCGUAGAGUGUAUUUAUGAACAAUUUUUUUUCUCUCAAUGGGUGCUUAGAAUUAGGGACAGAGAGAGUAUUAUGUUUUUUGAGGGAACAUAGGGGGUAUUAUGUUGUUAGCCGUAAUCCUAUUUAAUUCAAAUAUUCGUAUGUUUUCUAUUAUUGUCUUUUGCGUUAAAAAUUUAAUUAUAAUACAAAAUUAUGCCUCAAUUAAUCAAAUUAACUAACCCUUUAAUAAACAUCCCCACCAAAAAAUUCAAUAAGUAAAAAUAUGAAAUUAACUUUUUGCUUAAAGGGUUCGUGAAGCAAAGAUUUUCCUGGGAACAUAUACACAAGAAAAUCAUAUGCGCAACAAAAUCAUUUACUUAAAUUGACAAUAACACCCUUUACGUAAAUUGUUUGCAAAAUCAUUUAAGUUAUUAAAGAUCAACUUUAAAGAUUAAAAUAUACUAUUCUAAUGGGUCAACCUGCCAAAAAAUCUGUGCCAUUCAAAAUGUUCUUUCUAAAUCCAAUGGCUCACAACCAAUUUACAAACCAAAAAAAAAAAAAAAAUGUAGUCUCUUAUGGUAGAAGACCCAUUAAAGUCGCCUACCGUAGCCACAGCUAUACUCCACGUUUAUCAUAGUGGAACGGUCAUGUUGUUGGCUUGUAUAUAUGUUGCUUUGAUCAGUAUGUAAUAAAAAGAAAAAAUGUGAAAAUUGAACCUGCACAUAGCAUACAUUUAUACACUCCCUCACUUCAUAUUUAUCUAUACACAAAUUAAUUUCCCUCAUUCAAAAUAUUGAGUUUCUGGGUUACAUCUCCUCAUAUCUUUAAGAUAAAGUUGAGUUGUUCUGUCACCUCCGGUUAUGAUUUAUAACAGGAUAUGCGCUUAUGAGGCGGAUAUAAUCCUCAAGGAAAGUGACUAUGUCACGUCUAGGUUACUUAACAGUGUGUUGUUUUGCAGGUUUCCUAUAAAUUAGAUUUGUGAAGAUUUCGAUGGAGCGGCAACCAGAUUCGAUAAGUUCCUUUACUUUAUUUCACUUCAUUACUGGUCUUAAUUAUCUGUUAUCCCAUUUCUUUUAAUUUCUUAUGAUAGUUCCUCAUCUAAUUUUACAACACCAAAUUCACAUGAAUAUGAUGUAAUAUAAAGGACAUUAUGUAAGGUUAAGGAUGAAGAAAUAACAAUAUAUAUAUCUGCAAAUUGAAGCAAAAACAUAAGAACCAUUUGGUAAAGACACGAGAACAGGAAUGAUAUUUUUGUGAGAAGUAAAAGAUGUAAAGGUUAAAGUGUUUACCAUUUCUGCUAGACAAAUAAGAAUUCAGGACAAAUGGAGAGGUAGUGAUGGAGUUUACUGUGUGUGUGGAUUUUGACUGUUGAAGCAAAACACGAAUACUUUGAACCUCUUCUCGAGUAAAACGAAAUAAGUAUUAUGAAGAUGUCUCUCGAGAUGAACCAAUAUUAGAAGAAGAAGAAGACCUCCCUUACCAUUGAAAUUUCCUUGAUAAGAAUUUACCUGUAAGGCUCUUGAAGUUUCAGAUGAAUCAGUUAUGUUGUAAAAUUACCAAAGAAAAGGCUUUGUCAAUGUCAGAGAGGUGACUCAUUGUCAUAAUCUGAGAUUUCUAGUUUAAUUUUGAAGCGACAAAUCUUUGCAAAUGAAAUUUAAAUCUUUUCUUUUGAACAGUGAUUCCUUAAACAUUUGGAAACUUUAACCAAUGUCAUUACUAAAGUUUUAGUAAAUUUCACUCUCCUUCCAUGAGAAAUUAUUCAUAUUACACUACACAAAUGCAUUUCAAGUACAUUACCUUUCAAUGCAACAUGAUAAAGAUUGCGCGGAGAAUCUGAAACGAUAGUCAUGGUGAUUUCCAUGCCAUUUCCAGAUUUUUCAACCUAUUUAAUAACAACCAGUAACGAACGCACAUAAAAAGAAACGAUAAAAACCAAGACAAUACUUGAUUAAAUUAAUCUCUUAAUCCUCACAGCCUUGUAUGUAUAAUGAUCAUCCAAUGCUUAGGAAACUGACAGUGCUUACUGUUACAUUUUCUAAAUGAAAUAUACCUCAAACCAAAAAUUACCUACACCAUGA
rnacentral:lncRNA from 1 species